rnacentral:tRNA from 1 species
UCCGGGGUAGCUCAGUGGUAGAGCGGGGCACUGUUAAUGCCUUAGUCGCUGGUUCGAAUCCAGUCCCCGGAGCCA